UGCCAUUUGUGUGAUAUAAAUAUCUCUGGAAAAAGCUUAAAAACAUUGUGUCAUACAUAUUUUGUUAAUACCACAGUCAAUCACACAUGUCCAAGUGCACAGUUCCAUCAACCAAGAAGGGAGGUGGGGGGAAGUGGGGUGAGGGUGGUGGAGGGGGGGAGACCCAGGAGGGACUUGGUUCUGAAUCCUCUGUUCCAGCUGAAGACGCCUUGGUGGUUUUCUCUUCAGCAUAGUGUCUUCAAAGAACCUCCUAGAUGUCUCAGAAGCUUGAUGUUGGGCCAGAACAUGAGAAGUUGAGGAAGCCACCCCUCAUUCUCCUCCUUCAUCUCCAGGGAAACUCUUAACCCUAGUAAAAGUGUAGUGCUUUGAAUCCCUCGAGGAAGGUGUGCCUGCAAAGCCAAGGGUGUGACUAGAUCAGCCAGGAUCUUCCUGUUCUGACCAAAGGAGCCAAUUAGAUGAUCUAAUGGGAAUCUUUUUUGUCAUUCAGAAAUUAUAUGAUGCUGUGAAGCUGCCCACUCUUAUGUACCCUUGAUGAUGAUAAUAAUGUCUCCUUCCAGAGUCACAUAGCAAAAUGUAAUAACCUCCAGUGGCAGCCUUGGAGUUAAUGACCCUUCACCCAUUUGAUUGCUGGGUAGAGUGAGGCAAAAAAAGAUCAGAGGCCUAGCUCACCUUCCCUCUUCCCUCAGCAGGGAUACUUGCCCAGUGGGCUCACUGAAAGCAGGAGUCAUAUUUCUAUACCAUCAAUCUGAAAUUCCAGCUACAGCAGAAUUCCCCCCCCCAAUUUUUUUGGGGGGUGGGGGGGAGUAGUGUUUUGGGGAACACUAGUCUCAUGGGAGACUCUGAGGGGAGUUUGGAAAAUGUUUCUAGUCCUUCAUUAGCUUUUCUUAUGUACAUUAGCAUAUUAAAGGCUCUGAGAAGUCUUGUAGUAAAGGCAUCUUUUUUUAGUUGUUAUUA
rnacentral:lncRNA from 1 species